AUCUAAGUACCCCGAGGAAAAGAAAUCAACCGAGAUUCCCCCAGUAGCGGCGAGCGAACGGGGAGGAGCCCAGAGCCUGAAUCAGUGUGUGUGUUAGUGGAAGCGUCUGGAAAGGCGCGCGAUACAGGGUGACAGCCCCGUACACAAAAAUGCACAUACUGUGAGCUCGAUGAGUAGGGCGGGACACGUGGUAUCCUGUCUGAAUAUGGGGGGACCAUCCUCCAAGGCUAAAUACUCCUGACUGACCGAUAGUGAACCAGUACCGUGAGGGAAAGGCGAAAAGAACCCCGGCGAGGGGAGUGAAAAAGAACCUGAAACCGUGUACGUACAAGCAGUGGGAGCCUCUUAAUGGGGUGACUGCGUACCUUUUGUAUAAUGGGUCAGCGACUUAUAUUCUGUAGCAAGGUUAACCGAAUAGGGGAGCCGAAGGGAAACCGAGUCUUAACUGGGCGUUAAGUUGCAGGGUAUAGACCCGAAACCCGGUGAUCUAGCCAUGGGCAGGUUGAAGGUUGGGUAACACUAACUGGAGGACCGAACCGACUAAUGUUGAAAAAUUAGCGGAUGACUUGUGGCUGGGGGUGAAAGGCCAAUCAAACCGGGAGAUAGCUGGUUCUCCCCGAAAGCUAUUUAGGUAGCGCCUCGUGAAUUCAUCUCCGGGGGUAGAGCACUGUUUCGGCAAGGGGGUCAUCCCGACUUACCAACCCGAUGCAAACUGCGAAUACCGGAGAAUGUUAUCACGGGAGACACACGGCGGGUGCUAACGUCCGUCGUGAAGAGGGAAACAACCCAGACCGCCAGCUAAGGUCCCAAAGUCAUGGUUAAGUGGGAAACGAUGUGGGAAGGCCCAGACAGCCAGGAUGUUGGCUUAGAAGCAGCCAUCAUUUAAAGAAAGCGUAAUAGCUCACUGGUCGAGUCGGCCUGCGCGGAAGAUGUAACGGGGCUAAACCAUGCACCGAAGCUGCGGCAGCGACACUAUGUGUUGUUGGGUAGGGGAGCGUUCUGUAAGCCUGUGAAGGUGUACUGUGAGGU
rnacentral:rRNA from 1 species